rnacentral:rRNA from 1 species
ACACGCAUGACACACUGCAUAUCAAUAAGCGGAGGAAAAGAAACUAACAAGGAUCCCCUUAGUAACGGCGAGUGAAGCGGGAAGAGCUCAAAUUUGAAAUCUUCAAGGUUCUACCUUGACGUAUUGUAGUUUAUAGAAGUGUUUUCUGUUAGUAGAGUUCGGUAAAAGUUCUUUGGAAUAGGACAUCAUAGAGGGUGAGAAUCCCGUAUUUGAUCGUUACUUUCCAGCUGUGUGAUACACUUUCAAAGGGUCGGAUUGUUUGGGAAUGCAGUCCAAAAUGGGUGGUAAAUUUCAUCUAAAGCUAAAUAUUGGCGAGAGACCGAUAGCGAACAAGUACCGUGAGGGAAAGAUGAAAAGAACUUUGAAAAGAGAGUUAAACAGUACGUGAAAUUGUCAAAAGGGAAGCGUUUGACACCAGUGUUGUUUAGUUCGAAAAUCAAUUCAAUAAUUUUUGAUUUUAAGUAGUAUUGACUUCAUCAGCUUGCUGCUUUCUUUUCAUGAAUUAUUGAAUGCACUUUUCAGUUAACAAGUCAACAUCAAUUUCUUUUGUUGUAAAAGGGUAAGAGGAAGGUGGCUUACGCUUCGGCGUAAGUGUUUAUAGCCUUUUACCUCUGCAAUCGGAGAGAUUGAGGUACUAGCAGCGUAGACUCCUUCGGGGUUAGAUACACUUGUGCUAAGCUAUAGCCUUGUAUAGACAACUUGUUGACUAUGCUCAGUCAUGUAGCUUACUCGCUUAGUGCUAUUUUACCUACGCUUAGGAUGUUGAGCGCAUGUCUCUCUCU